ACUUCCCCUGGCCCCUUGUGCACAUGCUCAUUCUGCAGCAUCCAGCAGGUACCGGCAGUGUGGGUGUUCACUCUGAGAGCGCCCAUCAGUGUGAGAGACACUUGACUGUUGCAUGUGAGUUCUAGGAUAGUCACUCUGUCCUCUGUGAAUCCAUCACUCGUGUAGAGUCCUAACUCUCUGGAAAGGAAGCACUGAGCUUAAAGUUUUAAAGCAAAUUUGUUUGAGUUUAUAAGCCAGAAAAAUGGAAGUAUAACAUCAAAUCAGGACCCAGGAAGCCAACCCAGCUGUUGAUUGGUCUUCAGUUCAAGAUGGAGUCAUAGCUGAGAUAUUAGCCACCCAGACAGCUUCACCCUCCCGGCAACUCACCUUUUGCCUUGAUGCCAAUGAGGUCCUCUCUGCCCUUGUGUCUCUUUGGCCUGAGACAAAAGAGUAAAGUCCACAGGGUUCCAUCAACUGUUGUCACUAAACUGUACAUGAGAUCAACAGAAUGCAUUCAUCUUGCAUCGCUGAAACUUAGUAGCUUGAUUUAAAGAAGAAGAAAAAUAUUGAGUGCCUGGCAAAAUCUAAAAAGCGCCUCCUGUGUACCAAGAGCCGGGGCAGACACUGAACAAGACUCAUUCCUGCUGCCGUCACUGCUGAGCUCGGGGGCUGCUGCUCUGUUUGGAGCUCCUGCUCUGUGUGGAGCCCCGUGCGGUUCUUUUUGUCAUCUCACCUGCAGGCUCUUCCCUGCACUGCCACCAGCUCGAUCUUGUUUUCUCUUCCCCUUUGCGCUUUUCCACAGAGCUCUGAUUCGGACCUGAGUGUACUCCUCUGUGUGCACGUGCCGGGCCCUGCGACACACGCCUGUGCUUCUCGCGGGGUCAGUCAUGGCUUUGGCCUCCCUGGCACUGCUGUGGUUUGCUGAGAUUUUAGUGAUUUCUGCCGAUUGCCUAAACUCAGCCUUGGACUUCAUUCCGACCCCAUGCAAGGCUGUGUGGAUAAGCCGCUGUGAAACCGCCUGGUACAACGUGAUGACGAGCAGA
rnacentral:lncRNA from 1 species